UUUAUGGAGAGUUUGAUCCUGGCUCAGAGUGAACGCUGGCGGCGUGCCUAAUACAUGCAAGUCGAACGAUGAAGCUUCUAGCUUGCUAGAAGUGGAUUAGUGGCGCACGGGUGAGUAACGCAUAGGUCAUGUGCCUCUUAGUUUGGGAUAGCCAUUGGAAACGAUGAUUAAUACCAGAUACUCCCUACGGGGGAAAGAUUUAUCGCUAAGAGAUCAGCCUAUGUCCUAUCAGCUUGUUGGUAAGGUAAUGGCUUACCAAGGCUAUGACGGGUAUCCGGCCUGAGAGGGUGAACGGACACACUGGAACUGAGACACGGUCCAGACUCCUACGGGAGGCAGCAGUAGGGAAUAUUGCUCAAUGGGGGAAACCCUGAAGCAGCAACGCCGCGUGGAGGAUGAAGGUUUUAGGAUUGUAAACUCCUUUUGUUAGAGAAGAUAAUGACGGUAUCUAACGAAUAAGCACCGGCUAACUCCGUGCCAGCAGCCGCGGUAAUACGGAGGGUGCAAGCGUUACUCGGAAUCACUGGGCGUAAAGAGCGCGUAGGCGGGAUAGUCAGUCAGGUGUGAAAUCCUAUGGCUUAACCAUAGAACUGCAUUUGAAACUACUAUUCUAGAGUGUGGGAGAGGUAGGUGGAAUUCUUGGUGUAGGGGUAAAAUCCGUAGAGAUCAAGAGGAAUACUCAUUGCGAAGGCGACCUGCUGGAACAUUACUGACGCUGAUUGUGCGAAAGCGUGGGGAGCAAACAGGAUUAGAUACCCUGGUAGUCCACGCCCUAAACGAUGGAUGCUAGUUGUUGGAGGGCUUAGUCUCUCCAGUAAUGCAGCUAACGCAUUAAGCAUCCCGCCUGGGGAGUACGGUCGCAAGAUUAAAACUCAAAGGAAUAGACGGGGACCCGCACAAGCGGUGGAGCAUGUGGUUUAAUUCGAAGAUACACGAAGAACCUUACCUAGGCUUGACAUUGAGAGAAUCCGCUAGAAAUAGUGGAGUGUCUGGCUUGCCAGACCUUGAAAACAGGUGCUGCACGGCUGUCGUCAGCUCGUGUCGUGAGAUGUUGGGUUAAGUCCCGCAACGAGCGCAACCCCCUUUCUUAGUUGCUAACAGGUCAUGCUGAGAACUCUAAGGAUACUGCCUCCGUAAGGAGGAGGAAGGUGGGGACGACGUCAAGUCAUCAUGGCCCUUACGCCUAGGGCUACACACGUGCUACAAUGGGGUGCACAAAGAGAAGCAAUACUGCGAAGUGGAGCCAAUCUUCAAAACGCCUCUCAGUUCGGAUUGUAGGCUGCAACUCGCCUGCAUGAAGCUGGAAUCGCUAGUAAUCGCAAAUCAGCCAUGUUGCGGUGAAUACGUUCCCGGGUCUUGUACUCACCGCCCGUCACACCAUGGGAGUUGUGUUUGCCUUAAGUCAGGAUGCUAAAUUAGCUACUGCCCACGGCACACACAGCGACUGGGGUGAAGUCGUAACAAGGUAACCGUAGGUGAACCUGCGGUUGGAUCACCUCCUUUCUAGA
rnacentral:rRNA from 1 species